rnacentral:rRNA from 1 species
AUUCCGGUUGAUCCUGCCGGAGGUCAUUGCUAUCGGGGUCCGAUUUAGCCAUGCUAGUCGCGCGGGUUAGACCCGCGGCGUAUAGCUCAGUAACACGUGGCCAAACUACCCUACAGACGAGAACAACCUCGGGAAACUGAGGCUAACACUCGAUACGCGUUGACCGUUUGAACACGUCGACGCUCAAACGCUCCGGCGCUGUAGGAUGUGGCUGCGGCCGAUUAGGUAGACGGUGGGGUAACGGCCCACCGUGCCGAUAAUCGGUACGGGUUGUGAGAGCAAGAGCCCGGAGACGGAAUCUGAGACAAGAUUCCGGGCCCUACGGGGCGCAGCAGGCGCGAAACCUUUACACUGCACGCCAGUGCGAUAAGGGGACCCCGAGUGAAAGGGCAUAUCGCCCUUUCUUUUCUGAACCGUAGGGAGGUUCAGGAACAAGAGCUGGGCAAGACCGGUGCCAGCCGCCGCGGUAAUACCGGCAGCUCGAGUGAUGACCGAUUUUAUUGGGCCUAAAGCGUCCGUAGCUGGCCGCGCAAGUCCGUCGGGAAAUCCACCCGCUUAACGGGUGGGCGUCCGGCGGAAACUGUGCGGCUUGGGACAGGAAGGCUCGAGGGGUACGUUCGGGGUAGGAGUGAAAUCCCGUAAUCCUGAACGGACCACCGAUGGCGAAAGCACCUCGAGAGGACUGAUCCGACAGUGAGGGACGAAAGCUGGGGUCUCGAACCGGAUUAGAUACCCGGGUAGUCCCAGCCGUAAACGAUGUUCGCUAGGUGUGACACUCACUACGAGUGAGUGUUGUGCCGCAGGGAAGCCGCUAAGCGAACCGCCUGGGAAGUACGUCCGCAAGGAUGAAACUUAAAGGAAUUGGCGGGGGAGCACUACAACCGGAGGAGCCUGCGGUUUAAUUGGACUCAACGCCGGUAACCUUACCAGCCCCGACUACGGUGAUGACGGUCAGGUUGAUGACCUCACCACGAUGCCGU